rnacentral:snoRNA from 1 species
CGGUCGGGUGGGAUACUCUUUACCUAUUCCUCCUUUUGGAGAUCAGAUUCAAACACGAUUGGAGCUUGCAAAAUGCCCGAUUAGAGUCUCUGUGUAAUCAGAACGUGCAACACCCUGGCUACUCCUGUCUGAU